UCUGGUCUCCAAUAUGGGGUCUUGAACAGUUUUGGCAUUGCAAGAGAUGUUUUGCCUAAAGCUUAGAAAGAAUAGUAUAUCCCUAGUGUGUCAGCAAAAUGCCAAGGACAACCUUAUUACCUAAAGAAGAGCGGAGACUAGGAAUAAAAUUCAUAGCCUAUGAAAUGAUAAUUUAAAGAGUUGCAGUAUGAUAAGAGAGUAAAUGAUCUAACAUGG
rnacentral:misc_RNA from 1 species